UGGGGAAUAUUGCGCAAUGGGCGAAAGCCUGACGCAGCGACGCCGCGUGGGGGAUGAAGGCCUUCGGGUUGUAAACCCCUUUCAGCAGGGACGAAGCGCAAGUGACGGUACCUGCAGAAGAAGCGCCGGCUAACUACGUGCCAGCAGCCGCGGUAAUACGUAGGGCGCAAGCGUUGUCCGGAAUUAUUGGGCGUAAAGAGCUCGUAGGCGGUCUGUUACGUCCGCUGUGAAAACCCAGGGCUUAACCCUGGGCUUGCAGUGGAUACGGGCAGACUAGAGGCAGGUAGGGGAGAAUGGAAUUCCCGGUGUAGCGGUGAAAUGCGCAGAUAUCGGGAGGAACACCGGUGGCGAAGGCGGUUCUCUGGGCCUGACCUGACGCUGAGGAGCGAAAGCGUGGGGAGCGAACA
rnacentral:rRNA from 2 species